AGAGUUUGAUCCUGGCUCAGGACGAACGCUGGCGGCGUGCCUAAUACAUGCAAGUCGAGCGGAUCGUUCCUUCGGGAACGGUUAGCGGCGGACGGGUGAGUAACACGUAGGCAACCUGCCUGUAAGAUCGGGAUAACUACCGGAAACGGUAGCUAAGACCGGAUAGCUGGUUUCGGUGCAUGCCGGAAUCAUGAAACACG
rnacentral:rRNA from 1 species